GCGUAAGUCAUCGGUUCAAAUCCGAUAAAGGGCU
rnacentral:tRNA from 1 species